rnacentral:snoRNA from 1 species
UGGAUCAAUGAUGAAAGGGUGUCAUGAAUCAAAGAUUAUGAUUAAUCCAAUCCCAGAGAAAUUCCACC